rnacentral:rRNA from 1 species
GAUGAACGCUAGCGGCAGGCCUAACACAUGCAAGUCGAGGGGUAGAAGGAGCUUGCUCCUUUGAGACCGGCGCACGGGUGCGUAACGCGUAUGCAAUCUACCUUGUACAGGGGAAUAGCCCAGAGAAAUUUGGAUUAAUGCCCCAUAGUAUAUAACCUUCGCAUGUUGGUUAUAUUAAAGUUCCAACGGUACAAGAUGAGCAUGCGUCCCAUUAGUUAGUUGGUAAGGUAACGGCUUACCAAGACGAUGAUGGGUAGGGGUCCUGAGAGGGAGAUCCCCCACACUGGUACUGAGACACGGACCAGACUCCUACGGGAGGCAGCAGUGAGGAAUAUUGGUCAAUGGUCGAAAGACUGAACCAGCCAUGCCGCGUGCAGGAAGACGGUCCUAUGGAUUGUAACCUGCUUUUAUACAGGAAGAAACCCUCCCACGUGUGGGAGCUUGACGGUACUGUAGGAAUAAGGAUCGGCUAACUCCGUG